rnacentral:rRNA from 1 species
AACGCGAAGAACCUUACCUGUGCUUGACAUGUUCCCGACAGCCCCAGAGAUGGGGCCUCCCUUCGGGGCGGGUUCACAGGUGGUGCAUGGUCGUCGUCAGCUCGUGUCGUGAGAUGUUGGGUUAAGUCCCGCAACGAGCGCAACCCUCGCCCUGUGUUGCCAGCACGUCGUGGUGGGAACUCACGGGGGACCGCCGGGGUCAACUCGGAGGAAGGUGGGGAUGACGUCAGAUCAUCAUGCCCCUUACGUCCAGGGCUUCACCCAUGCUACAAUGGCCGGUACAACGGGAUGCGACCUCGUGAGGGGGAGCGGAUCCCUUAAAACCGGUCUCAGUUCGGAUUGGAGUCUGCAACCCGACUCCAUGAAGGCGGAGUCGCUAGUAAUCGCGGAUCAGCAACGCCGCGGUGAAUGCGUUCCCGGGUCUUGUACACACCG